UACGAAGGGUGCAAGCGUUACUCGGAAUUACUGGGCGUAAGGCGUGCGUAGGUGGUUUGUUAAGUCUGAUGUGAAAGCCCUGGGCUCAACCUGGGAAUUGCAUUGGAUACUGGCAGGCUAGAGUGCGGUAGAGGGUAGUGGAAUUCCCGGUGUAGCAGUGAAAUGCGUAGAGGUCGGGAGGAACACCAAUGGCGAAGGCAGCCCCCUGGGAUAACACUGACGCUCAUGUACGAAAGCGUGGGUAGCAAACAGG
rnacentral:rRNA from 1 species